rnacentral:RNase_P_RNA from 1 species
GAAGCUGACCAGACAGUCGCCGCUGCGUCGUCGUCGCUUUCGGGGGCGAGGGGAAAGUCGGGCUCCAUAGGGCAGGGUGCGGCGCACGGGGAAACACGACCAGUGCAACGAAGGCAAACCGCCGAUGGCCACGUAAGUGGGGAUCAGUAAGUGAAAAGGUGCGGCAAACGCACCGCGCGGCUGGCAACGUCCGUGGCACGGUAAACUCCACCGGGCAAAGGCCAAAUAGGGGUUUCACGGCUAAAACGCUGGAGCCAGGUAGGCUGCAGGCCAGUGAGCGUUGCUGGCUAGAUGAAUGACUGUACGACAGAGCAGCUUAUCCGGUCCGGUUACCGCUUCUUCAUAAACCCGCUGGCAGGUUUGCUACAGGCGACAGGAUGAAUGACUGUGCGACGCUGCCGCAAAAAGCGGCUUAUCGGUCGCUUCACUU